rnacentral:rRNA from 1 species
AUUGAACGCUGGCGGCAGGCCUAACACAUGCAAGUCGAACGGUAACAGGAAGCAGCUUGCUGCUUUGCUGACGAGUGGCGGACGGGUGAGUAAUGUCUGGGAAACUGCCCGAUGGAGGGGGAUAACUGCUGGAAACGGUAGCUAAUACCGCAUAACGUCGCAAGACCAAAGAGGGGGACCUUAGGGCCUCUUGCCAUCGGAUGUGCCCAGAUGGGAUUAGCUAGUAGGUGGGGUAACGGCUCACCUAGGCGACGAUCCCUAGUUGGUCUGAGAGGAUGACCAGCCACACUGGAACUGAGACACGGUCCAGACUCCUACGGGAGGCAGCAGUGGGGAAUAUUGCACAAUGGGCGCAAGCCUGAUGCAGCCAUGCCGCGUGUAUGAAGAAGGCCUUCGGGUUGUAAAGUACUUUCAGCGGGGAGGAAGGGAGUAAAGUUAAUACCUUUGCUCAUUGACGUUACCCGCAGAAGAAGCACCGGCUAACUCCGUG